GAAAUGCGAUAAGUAGUGUGAAUUGCAGAAUUCAGUGAAUCAUCAAAUCUUUGAACGCACAUUGCGCCCCUCGGUAUUCCGUGGGGCAUGCCUGUUCGAGCGUCAUCUACACCCUCAAGCUCUGCUUGGUGUUGGGCGUCUGUCCCGCCUCCUUCGCGCGCGGACUCGCCCCAAAUCCAUUGGCGGCGGCCCUUGCCUCCCUCUCGCGCAGCACAUUGCGCUUCUCGAGGCGCGGCGGACCGCGUCCAGCAAGCAACCGUCACACCGUCUUUGACCUCGGAUCAGGUAGGGAUACCCGCUGAACUUAAGC
rnacentral:misc_RNA from 1 species